UACGUAGGGGGCAAGCGUUGUCCGGAUUUAUUGGGCGUAAAGAGCUCGUAGGCGGUUCGUCGCGUCGGCUGUGAAAACCCGGAGCUCAACUCCGGGCCUGCAGUCGAUACGGGCGGACUGGAGUUCGGCAGGGGAGACUGGAAUUCCUGGUGUAGCGGUGAAAUGCGCAGAUAUCAGGAGGAACACCGGUGGCGAAGGCGGGUCUCUGGGCCGAUACUGACGCUGAGGAGCGAAAGCGUGGGGAGCGAACAGG
rnacentral:rRNA from 1 species